rnacentral:rRNA from 1 species
GAUGAGCCAAGAUUUGUAGCCAUAAGCUACUAAUGAUUUUUAACUGAAGAGUUUGAUCAUGGCUCAGAUUGAACGCUGGCGGCAGGCUUAACACAUGCAAGUCGAGCGGGGAAAGGUAGCUUGCUACCUUACCUAGCGGCGGACGGGUGAGUAAUGCUUAGGAAUCUGCCUAUUAGUGGGGGACAACAUUUCGAAAGGAAUGCUAAUACCGCAUACGCCCUACGGGGGAAAGCAGGGGACCUUCGGGCCUUGCGCUAAUAGAUGAGCCUAAGUCGGAUUAGCUAGUUGGUGGGGUAAAGGCCUACCAAGGCGACGAUCUGUAGCGGGUCUGAGAGGAUGAUCCGCCACACUGGGACUGAGACACGGCCCAGACUCCUACGGGAGGCAGCAGUGGGGAAUAUUGGACAAUGGGGG